UACAGAGGUCCCAAGCGUUGUUCGGAUUCACUGGGCGUAAAGGGUGCGUAGGUGGUGGGGUAAGUCGGAUGUGAAAUCUCCGAGCUCAACUCGGAAAUGGCAUUGGAAACUACCCUGCUAGAGGGUCGGAGGGGGGACUGGAAUACUUGGUGUAGCAGUGAAAUGCGUAGAGAUGUGGAGGAAUACCGAUGGCGAAGGCAGCCCCCUGGGCCAAUACUGACGCUCAUGCACGAAAGCGUGGGGAGCAAACAGG
rnacentral:rRNA from 1 species